GACGAACGCUGGCGGCGUGCUUAACACAUGCAAGUCGAACGAAGUGGCGAACGGGUGCGUAACGCGUAAACAACCUGCCCUUCAGAGGGGGACAACAGUUGGAAACGACUGCUAAUCCCGCAUACUGAAGGAGGGGAUUGCGUCUAAUUACCUAGUUGGAGGGGUAAAGGCCCAACAAGGCGAUGAUCAGUAGCCGGUAUGAGAGUGUGAGCGGCAACAGUGGGACUGAGACACGGCCCAGACUACGACGGGAGGCAGCAGUGGGGAAUCUGCCGCAAUGGACGAAAGUCUGACGGAGCAACGCCGCGUGAGUGAUGACGGCCUUCGGGUUGUAAAGCUCUGUUAAUCGGGACGCGGUACCGGAAUAGAAGGCCACGGCUAACGACGUGCAAGCAGCCGCGGUAAUUG
rnacentral:rRNA from 1 species